rnacentral:rRNA from 1 species
ACAGAUGGGAGCUUGCUCCCUGAUGUUAGCGGCGGACGGGUGAGUAACACGUGGGUAACCUGCCUGUAAGACUGGGAUAACUCCGGGAAACCGGGGCUAAUACCGGAUGGUUGUCUGAACCGCAUGGUUCAGACAUAAAAGGUGGCUUCGGCUACCACUUACAGAUGGACCCGCGGCGCAUUAGCUAGUUGGUGAGGUAACGGCUCACCAAGGCGACGAUGCGUAGCCGACCUGAGAGGGUGAUCGGCCACACUGGGACUGAGACACGGCCCAGACUCCUACGGGAGGCAGCAGUAGGGAAUCUUCCGCAAUGGACGAAAGUCUGACGGAGCAACGCCGCGUGAGUGAUGAAGGUUUUCGGAUCGUAAAGCUCUGUUGUUAGGGAAGAACAAGUGCCGUUCAAAUAGGGCGGCACCUUGACGGUACCUAACCAGAAAGCCACGGCUAACUACGUGCCAGCAGCCGCGGUAAUACGUAGGUGGCAAGCGUUGUCCGGAAUUAUUGGGCGUAAAGGGCUCGCAGGCGGUUUCUUAAGUCUGAUGUGAAAGCCCCCGGCUCAACCGGGGAGGGUCAUUGGAAACUGGGGAACUUGAGUGCAGAAGAGGAGAGUGGAAUUCCACGUGUAGCGGUGAAAUGCGUAGAGAUGUGGAGGAACACCAGUGGCGAAGGCGACUCUCUGGUCUGUAACUGACGCUGAGGAGCGAAAGCGUGGGGAGCGAACAGGAUUAGAUACCCUGGUAGUCCACGCCGUAAACGAUGAGUGCUAAGUGUUAGGGGGUUUCCGCCCCUUAGUGCUGCAGCUAACGCAUUAAGCACUCCGCCUGGGGAGUACGGUCGCAAGACUGAAACUCAAAGGAAUUGACGGGGGCCG